rnacentral:rRNA from 1 species
UACGGAGGGGGCCAGCGUUGUUCGGAAUCAUUGGGCGUAAAGGGCGCGUAGGCGGCCGACCAAGUCGGAGGUGAAAUCCCUCGGCUCAACUGAGGAACUGCCUCCGAUACUGUACGGCUUGAGUCCCGGAGAGGGUAGUGGAAUUCCGAGUGUAGCGGUGAAAUGCGUAGAGACUCGGAAGAACACCAGUGGCGAAGGCGGCUACCUGGACGGGUACUGACGCUGAAGCGCGAAAGCUAGGGGAGCAAACGGG